GUUGCCAGCAUUUAGUUGGGCGACUCUAAGGGGACGUGCCGGUGAUAAGCCGAGAGGAAGGUGGGGAUGACGUCAAGUCCUCAUGGCCCUUACGGGCUGGGCUACACACGUGCUACAAUGGUGGUGACAGUGGGCAGCGAGCACGCGAGUGUGAGCUAAUCUCCAAAAGCCAUCUCAGUUCGGAUUGCACUCUGCAACUCGAGUGCAUGAAGUUGGAAUCGCUAGUAAUCGCGGAUCAGCAUGCCGCGGUGAAUACGUUCCCGGGCCUU
rnacentral:rRNA from 1 species